GAGUUUGAUCCUGGCUCAGAACGAACGCUGGCGGCAUGCCUAACACAUGCAAGUCGAACGGGAUCCGGACUUCGGUUCGGUGAGAGUGGCGGACGGGUGAGUAACGCGUGGGAACCUGCCCAGUGGUGGGGGAUAACUGCGGGAAACUGCAGCUAAUACCGCAUGAGCCCGAGAGGGGAAAGAUUUAUCGCCAUUGGAGGGGCCCGCGUUCGAUUAGGUAGUUGGUGAGGUAAUGGCUCACCAAGCCGACGAUCGAUAGCUGGUCUGAGAGGAUGAUCAGCCACACUGGGACUGAGAUACGGCCCAGACUCCUACGGGAGGCAGCAGUGGGGAAUAUUGGACAAUGGGGGCAACCCUGAUCCAGCAAUGCCGCGUGAGUGAUGAAGGCCUUCGGGUUGUAAGAC
rnacentral:rRNA from 1 species